rnacentral:rRNA from 1 species
UACGUAGGGUGCAAGCGUUAAUCGGAAUUACUGGGCGUAAAGCGUGCGCAGGCGGCUUCGCAAGUCAGACGUGAAAUCCCCGGGCUUAACCUGGGAAUGGCGUUUGAAACUACGGAGCUGGAGUGUGGCAGAGGGAGGUAGAAUUCCACGUGUAGCGGUGAAAUGCGUAGAUAUGCGGAGGAACACCGAUGGCGAAGGCAAUCCCCUGGGCCUGCACUGACGCUCAUGCACGAAAGCGUGGGGAGCAAACAGG